AACGAGCGCAACCCCUGCUUUCAGUUGCUACCGGGUCAUGCCGAGCACUCUGAAAGGACUUGCCCAGGAUAACGGGGAGGAAGGUGGGGAUGACGUCAAGUCAGCAUGGCCUUUAUGCCUGGGCCACACACGUGCUACAAUGGCCGGUACAAAGCGCUGCAAACCCGCGAGGGGGAGCCAAUCGCGAAAAACCGGCCUCAGUUCAGAUUGAGGUCUGCAACUCGACCUCAUGAAGGCGGAAUCGCUAGUAAUCGCGGAUCAGCACGCCACGGUGAAUACGUUCCCGGGCCUUGUACACACCGCCCGUCACACCACGAAAGCCUGUUGUACCUGAAGUCGCCCAAGCCAACCGCAAGGAGGCAGGCUGCCCACGGUAUGGCCGGUGAUUGGGGUGAAGUCGUAACAAGGUAACCGUAA
rnacentral:rRNA from 1 species